rnacentral:lncRNA from 1 species
AAUAUUUGAGUUGGCUUUAUGACAAGAACAAACAGUAGAUAUCAUUAACCGCCACAAUAAACCGAAGCACUCUACAACUUCUUCUAAAGGGAGUGUUCUCAUCACUGAAAAUUCUUCUAAAAUUUAGAAUUUUCAAGAAGAAGUACACUUGAGGAGUCCAAAUCAUACAGAAUUGAGGAGGAACAAUCUUUGUUACAGAUGCUAGAAAAAUACUCUCUAGGGUAUCAAUGUAAAAAAAAAAGUAGUCAUGGCAGUGGAAACAUGUGAGGAAGAAGAAAGAGAAAAUAAAAAUGAUCAACUUUCGGAUGGCAAGUAGAAGAAUAAUGCAAAAGAUCUAUAGGGAGUUUCGGUAGC